GCGUAGUUGAGCUUUCCUUUGUCAGUGAGCAGUUCUUUCAAGAACCCUUGGUUCAGCAUUCGGACCACCUCCUGUCGGAGACCUAUGCAGUCCUCCGUUCAGUGCCCCCGUUCUUGGGGGAACUCGCACAGGGCGUUUGAUUUUCUGGUGGCGAGGUCGGACUUCAUCUUUGUUGCCAUUGUACUUUGCUGCCAGCUUCUCCAGU
rnacentral:lncRNA from 1 species